UAGGGAAUCUUCCGCAAUGGACGCAAGUCUGACGGAGCAACGCCGCGUGAGGGAUGAAGGCCUUCGGGUUGUAAACCCCUUUCAGCAGGGACGAAGCGAAAGUGACGGUACCUGCAGAAGAAGCGCCGGCUAACUACGUGCCAGCAGCCGCGGUAACACGUAGGGCGCAAGCGUUGUCCGGAAUUAUUGGGCGUAAAGAGCUCGUAGGCGGUCUGUUGCGUCCGCUGUGAAAACUCGGGGCUUAACCCCGGGCCUGA
rnacentral:rRNA from 1 species